rnacentral:rRNA from 1 species
UAACUGAAGAGUUUGAUCAUGGCUCAGAUUGAACGCUGGCGGCAGGCUUAACACAUGCAAGUCGAGCGGGGGAAGGUAGCUUGCUACCGGACCUAGCGGCGGACGGGUGAGUAAUGCUUAGGAAUCUGCCUAUUAGUGGGGGACAACAUCUCGAAAGGGAUGCUAAUACCGCAUACGUCCUACGGGAGAAAGCAGGGGAUCUUCGGACCUUGCGCUAAUAGAUGAGCCUAAGUCGGAUUAGCUAGUUGGUGGGGUAAAGGCCUACCAAGGCGACGAUCUGUAGCGGGUCUGAGAGGAUGAUCCGCCACACUGGGACUGAGACACGGCCCAGACUCCUACGGGAGGCAGCAGUGGGGAAUAUUGGACAAUGGGGGGAACCCUGAUCCAG